AGAGUUUGAUCAUGGCUCAGGAUGAACGCUAGCGGCAGGCCUAAUACAUGCAAGCCGAACGGCAAGUUGAGUAGCAAUACUUGACCUAGAGUGGCGUAAGGGUGCGUAACACGUAUGCAAUCUGCCCGCAACAGGAGGAUAGCUCCCCGAAAGGGGAAUUAACCCUCCAUAGGACUAUAUUCAGGCAUCUGAGAAUAGUUAAACCAAAAGGGGUUGCGGAUGAGCAUGCGGUUGAUUAGCUAGUUGGCGGGGUAACGGCCCACCAAGGCGAUGAUCAAUAGGGGAACUGAGAGGUUUAUCCCCCACACUGGCACUGAGAUACGGGCCAGACUCCUACGGGAGGCAGCAGUAGGGAAUAUUGGACAAUGGGCGAGAGCCUGAUCCAGCCAUGCCGCGUGCAGGAAGAAGGCCUUCUGGGUUGUAAACUGCUUUUGCCAGGGGAUAAAAAGUCCCUGCGGGGAAAAUUGAAGGUACCUGGUGAAUAAGCCACGGCUAACUACGUGCCAGCAGCCGCGGUAAUACGUAGGUGGCAAGCGUUGUCCGGAUUUAUUGGGUUUAAAGGGUGCGUAGGCGGUUCUAUAAGUCAGUGGUGAAAUACGGCAGCUCAACUGUCGAGGUGCCAUUGAUACUGUAGAACUUGAGUACAGACGAGGUAGGCGGAAUUGACGGUAGCGGUGAAAUGCUUAGAUAUCGUCAAGAACACCGAUAGCGAAGGCAGCUUACUAGACUGUAACUGACGCUGAGGCACGAAAGUGUGGGGAUCAAACAGGAUUAGAUACCCUAGUAGUCC
rnacentral:rRNA from 1 species